AUGAACGCUGGCGGCGUGCCUAAUACAUGCAAGUCGAGCGAACGGACGAGAAGCUUGCUUCUCUGAUGUUAGCGGCGGACGGGUGAGUAACACGUGGAUAACCUACCUAUAAGACUGGGAUAACUUCGGGAAACCGGAGCUAAUACCGGAUAAUAUUUUGAACCGCAUGGUUCAAAAGUGAAAGACGGUCUUGCUGUCACUUAUAGAUGGAUCCGCGCUGCAUUAGCUAGUUGGUAAGGUAACGGCUUACCAAGGCAACGAUGCAUAGCCGACCUGAGAGGGUGAUCGGCCACACGGGAACUGAGACACGGUCCAGACUCCUACGGGAGGCAGCAGUAGGGAAUCUUCCGCAAUGGGCGAAAGCCUGACGGAGCAACGCCGCGUGAGUGAUGAAGGUCUUCGGAUCGUAAAACUCUGUUAUUAGUGAAGAACAUAUGUGUAAGUAACUGUGCACAUCUUGACGGUACCUAAUCAGAAAGCCACGGCUAACUACGUG
rnacentral:rRNA from 1 species